rnacentral:tRNA from 1 species
GGAUCUGUAUGCAAAUUGGUCAAGCGAUCACACAAACAGUGUAGUUAUAUUACAGGUUCGAGUCCUGUCAGAUCCA